ensembl:lncRNA
GUUGGGAAGAGGUACUAGUAGUACCAUUACAAUCACACUAUUGGACCAGUGAAGAUGAGUUCUCCAAAAGAAGAAUGAAUCGUUCUCACAAGGUGGAGUGAUGGCCACGUAAGAUAGGAAGCAAAGACCAACAAUGAUAAAAGAAGGUUUCUAAACCUUCAGUGACAUUAAGAAACCAAGCUCUUCUGGAUGAAAAUGAGAGAAGUCGUCUAUGUGGUGAAAAGUAUUUACAUCAGUCAGGAGUUGGUAAACUACAGCCAGUGGACCAAGUCUGGCCCAUCACCUGUUUUGUUAGGGCUCACGAGUGUAGCAUUAAAGAAAAGUCCUGCUGGGAUUCUCAAAGAUGGCGGAGGAAUAGGACGGGAAGAUCACGUUCUCCCUCACAAAUUCCUCAAAAGAACAUUUCAACGCCGAGCAAACUCCACAAAACAACUUCUGUAGGCUGGCAGAGGACAUCAGGCAACCAGAAAAGCAGACCAUUGUCUUCAAAAUCAGCAUCCCCCCUCCC